CCGCAAGGGGAGGAGGGGAGGACGGGGGAGCCGGCACAGGCAGCAGGAACCAGCAGAGCCCACAGCCCUUGAUCGAAGAUGAUCCCGUUUCCGGUCUGGCCCCAGCCCUUGGCAGGCCCGGGAGUGGAGCUUCCCUCCAAGAGCGUAAGGCAGGAGUGUUGCAUUUGAAGUUCCUCUUCUCGUUCCCAACCCGCCUCUGCACUCCAGUGGGACAGGAGACUGCAGAAACUGCUGCUGGGGCCCAGAGGGAAAGGCCUCCCACCACUUCCUGUACCUGCGCUGGGGUGGUCCCCCUGCUCUGCACUCCGAGUGGGGAGUUGGUCCUUAACCCAGGAAGGAAUGUGAUCUCUGCCUGCCGAACCACCCUGGUGUUGGGGGCAGCCCACUGCCCAGCUCCCAGGCAGGUUUGAGAUGGACUUCUGUUAUUGACAACCCAGAGGUUCCUGACUAACGCAUCAUUCAUUUGUCAAACACUGUGCUCCUGCUCUAUGCCAGACUACACAGGAUGGUGGAAUCCGAGGAUGACUGCGACACAGCUCCUGCCUUCAAGGAGCUUGGAGUCUCCUAAGCCUUGUCCAAAUGCUGCUCCUCUGUGACUACUUGGCCAGCUCCCACAGACAGUGAGCCCCCUUCUCCCCUCUGCUUCCCAGCACUAGGUUCACACUAUUCAUUCAAUGAAUAUUGCCAGGAGUGGUGGCUUAUGCCUGUAAUUCCAAGACUUUGGGAGACUGAGGCAAGUGGAUCACUUGUGGCCAGGAGUUUGAGACCAGCCUGAGCAACACAGGGAGACCCCACUUCUACAAAGAAAUAAAAACAUUAGGUGAUGUGGUGUUCACACCUGUAAUCUCAGCUACUCAGGAGGCUGAGGCAGGAGGAUCCCUUGAACCCAGGAGGUUGAAGCUGCAGGGAGCUAUGGUUGCACCACCAGCCUGGGCGAGAGUGAAGUUCAUUGGUUACCUACUUCAGGCCAGGCUCCAUGUUCCUCCUAUUGUAGAAUUGUCCCAGACUGUGUCUGCCUCUGCCUCUUAGACUGUAUGUUCUUGGAUAAUGGGCACCAUGCUGGUGAAUCCCCAGUGCCUAAGGCUGCGCCUAACGUGUGCUAAUUGCUUGUGUUUAUUGAAUGAAUGAAAGAAUGUGGAUUUCUGUGUGUGUUUAUGUGUGUUGGGAUGAGGGAGUGGACAACCAAAGAGAAGGACAAUAUGACAUAGCACCCAUAGCAGAGGAGAGGGUCCUGGAAGUUUCUAGAUCCAGCCAGGGCUCAGCCAGAAAAGCCAGCACACGGCUCUGAUCAAUUGAAUAAGAGCAGAUGUCUCCCUGCAGAUAGAUGCCUUCCCCACAUUUGCAACACAGGCGUCCCUGUCUCAGCACCAGUCCUGAAGAGCUGUCUCUGGAAGUUUUUCCCUUCUCCAAACCCCACCCAUAGUGUCCCGCCUGGCCACUACAUGGAUUCGUGUGAGGGCUCAAUGUAGCCUCUCCCUCUCAGGCUGACGGGGCCCAUUCUUCACACACAGCACUCGCUCACCAACAUGGGCUGGGGCCUCCUCAGAGCCGUGGAGGCAGGGAGUCACGGACUGACAGCCGGGCCUCAGGUGAGCCAAAACGCCC
rnacentral:lncRNA from 10 species